rnacentral:rRNA from 1 species
CCUGAACGCUGUCGGCGUGACUAAGACAUGCAAGUCGUACGGGCGUAGCAAUACGUCAGUGGCGCACGGGUGAGUAAGGCAUCGCUAAUCUGCCCCGGGGCCUGGGAUAGCCAGCCGAAAGGUUGGGUAAUACCAGAUGAGACCACGAACCGGCAUCGGUUUGUGCUCAAGGUUCGCCGCCCUGGGAUGAGGCGAUGUGGUAUCAGCUAGUUGGUGGGGUAACGGCCCACCAAGGCUUCGACGCCUAGCCGGACUGAGAGGUCGGCCGGCCACAUCGGGACUGAGACACUGCCCGGACUCCUACGGGGGGCUGCAGUAAUGAAUCUUCCGCAAUGCACGAAAGUGUGACGGAGCGACGCCGAGUGAAGGAUGAAGUCCCUCGGGAUGUAAACUUCUAAAACCUGUUAGAAAGUUCUGAUCGACAGGCUAUAAGUGGCGACUAACUCUGUG